AGCUUUGCGCAGUGGCAGUAUCGUAGCCAAUGAGGUUUAUCCGAGGCGCGAUUAUUGCUAAUUGAUCAUCAUAUCUAUGCCCAACUUGGAAUCUUCACAUAACAACUGCUGCAUUUUGAGCUGCUUUGAGUGGC